AGGACGAACGCUGGCGGCGUGCCUAACACAUGCAAGUCGAACGGGACCCGCAAGGGUUCAGUGGCGAACGGGUGCGUAACACGUGAAGAAUUUGUCCAACGGCGGGGGAUAGCCGGCCCAACGGCCGGGUAAUACCGCGUACGACCCUCGGGGGGCAUCCCCUGAAGGUGAAAGCCGCAAGGCGCCGAUGGAGAACUUCGCGGCCUAUCAGCUAGUUGGUGAGGUCAUGGCUCACCAAGGCGACGACGGGUAGCUGGUCCGAGAGGAUGACCAGCCACAUUGGGACUGAGACACGGCCCAGACUCCUACGGGGGGCAGCAGUGGGGAAUAUUGCGCAAUGGGCGAAAGCCUGACGCAGCGACGCCGCGUGUGGGAUGACGGCCUUCGGGUUGUAAACCACUGUCGCGAGGGACGAAGAUCUGACGGUACCUCGAAAGGAAGCACCGGCUAACUCUGUGCCAGUAGCCGC
rnacentral:rRNA from 1 species